GAUGAACGCUGGCGGCGUGCCUAAUACAUGCAAGUCGAGCGAACAGACGAGGAGCUUGCUCCUCUGACGUUAGCGGCGGACGGGUGAGUAACACGUGGAUAACCUACCUAUAAGACUGGGAUAACUUCGGGAAACCGGAGCUGAUACCGGAUAAUAUAUUGAACCGCAUGGUUCAAUAGUGAAAGACGGUUUUGCUGUCACUUAUAGAUGGAUCCGCGCCGCAUUAGCUAGUUGGUAAGGUAACGGCUUACCAAGGCAACGAUGCGUAGCCGACCUGAGAGGGGGAUCGGCCACACUGGAACUGAGACACGGUCCAGACUCCUACGGGAGGCAGCAGUAGGGAAUCUUCCGCAAUGGGCGAAAGCCUGACGGAGCAACGCCGCGUGAGUGAUGAAGGUCUUCGGAUCGUAAAACUCUGUUAUUAGGGAAGAACAAAUGUGUAAGUAACUAUGCACGUCUUGACGGUACCUAAUCAGAAAGCCACGGCUAACUACGUG
rnacentral:rRNA from 1 species